AGGAGUUAGUGAAACAACUCAACUAUUAAAACUACUAAAUUGAUGUAAACAUAGCAACAAGUUUUUACUAUAUAAAGUGAUCAAACCAUUUCAUAUUUAUAUAUGCAAAAGUGAAAAAUAAAUGGCUGAAACUCUCAAUUUUAUUUAUAGUGUGAUACUUUUUGUUUCCCUUUUUAUUGUUGUAGUCGUUAGUAAAACAGAAUGCAUCGAUAACAGCGAUUGCAUUAAAUUAUAUCCAGAUACUGUGCUAAAAUGGUGCGUCGAAGGUCUUUGUAUAUGCCCAUUUACAUGUCGCCGCUCUCUCUCUCUGUCUCGAAAGUAUCAGUUGCUUUUUACAUAGUACACUAUUGAUUCCCAGGUAGAGGACACUAGCUCUAAGGAGUAGUCACUUCUUUGCUUUGCUAGCUUGGUGAGGAGUCUAGCGAGUAGCUAUCUCUAGUUUAGUUUGUUGGGUUGUAAUAAGUAGAUGCUCUGAUAUUGUAACAACUAGUCGAGUUUUCGCGCUAGUAUGUUAUUGAAUCUUUUGUCUAUGUAUGACCUUGCUUUUAUUAUGAUUGUAUGAGGAUGUUAUCCAUGUGUUUGGAUUAUGACUUGGAUUAUGGCUUUUGGAGAUGUAAGCUUGAUGCAUGAUUACUUAGUAUUUGAAAUGCUAUUUGAAUUAUUCCGUUGUUUAUUAAA